UACAGAGGGGGCAAGCGUUAUUCGGAAUUAUUGGGCGUAAAGAGCGUGUAGGCGGCCCGAUUAGUCUGCUGUGAAAGUCCAGGGCUCAACCCUGGAAUGCCGGUGGAUACUGUCGGGCUAGAGUCCGGAAGGGGCGAGUGGAAUUCCUGGUGUAGCGGUGAAAUGCGCAGAUAUCAGGAGGAACACCAAUGGCGAAGGCAGCUCGCUGGGACGUGACUGACGCUGAGACGCGAAAGCGUGGGGAGCAAACAGG
rnacentral:rRNA from 1 species